CGGUGAAUACGUUCCCGGGUCUUGUACACACCGCCCGUCACACCAUGGAAGUUGGCCACGCCCGAAGCCGUUACUCCAACCCUUGUGGAGGAGGACGUCGAAGGUGGGGCUGAUGACUGGGGUGAAGUCGUAACAAGGUAGCCGUACCGGAAGGUGCGGCUGGAUCACCUCCU
rnacentral:rRNA from 1 species